UACGAAGGGGGCUAGCGUUGCUCGGAAUCACUGGGCGUAAAGGGUGCGUAGGCGGGUCUUUAAGUCAGGGGUGAAAUCCUGGAGCUCAACUCCAGAACUGCCUUUGAUACUGGGGAUCUCGAGUCCGGAAGAGGUGAGUGGAACUCCGAGUGUAGAGGUGAAAUUCGUAGAUAUUCGGAAGAACACCAGUGGCGAAGGCGGCUCACUGGUCCGGUACUGACGCUGAGGUGCGAAGGCCAGGGGAGCAAACGGG
rnacentral:rRNA from 1 species